ensembl:lncRNA
UGGUUUGUAUGUUGGCUAACAUGGUAGUGUGGCACUCUGUGGCACUCUCCCCUCUGGGAUAAAUGAAAAAUUAUACUAACUUUGGAAAAGCACCAUCAGUUCCCAAUCUACUUAAUACACAGUGUAGUGGAAUUCCAGGGUCACAGCCUGAACCAAUGGGUGGGCUCUGUGAGUGUGUGAGUGCGGCGGCGCGGCGGUACGAACGGGGGAGGGACACAUUCCUCAGCUCGGCUCAGUCUGCGCGCUGCUACCGGGAGGGCUUCCACUAUAGCAGAAAAACUACAGAGGAAAUGUGCUUCUUUAACUUGUGUGUCUUGAAAAAUUAAAAUAUACAAAAUACACUGCAGGAUCAGAACAGUUCAACUGGAUAAAUGUUAUCCUUCAUAAUCUGGACCUGAAAAUGCAGCACAGAGAGUGGCUUUUCUAAGUUCCUUCUGCUAUAUUCUGAGGGAAGAUUUGAAUAGCUGAAGAUCUCCAGACAUGGAACUAAUACAAGAAGCGUUAGAAAAAUUCACGUUGCUCUAUAUAGAGAAGAAGAAAAUACUUGAAGUCAUAACAAGGAAUGGAAUAAGGUGCCGGAUCAGAGGCACUUAAGUCUUUCAACUCUGAAGAAAAGCUUGACUUUCUUUUGACUUAAUUACUCAGAAUUUUACCUUAUUGACUGGAGUUAAGAUUCUCUUACUGACCACUCUUAUCUAGUAAAUGCAUCAGAAUAAUAGCAAUAAUAAUGAAACAAAACUGACUAUGUUAUGUUAAGUUGAAUGAUAAGUCCUCGGCAGUAGAAUUAAAUCAUAAAUGUUUUUUUCUCAGCAAAUUAAAAAGCCAGGUUGAGAUAGUAGAUUCCUCUUCUAAACAAAACAUUUCAUAAAGGAAUGUUACCCCUCUGAUAUAAGAAUUCUUUAUUUAUGACUUUUAUCUAUACGAGCUACACCAGCAUACAGUCAGUGUGACAAAAAAUGCAUGCUUGAUUCUUAUGCAAAUAUUUCCAAAUUCAUUUCAAACUGUUAUUCAAUAAAAGAUGAGUAUCCUCUUAUUUUUAAUCUUCCUUCACCUUCAUUCUAAGUGUGUAAGUGGAAGACUUGUGUUGACUAGAAGACUGAUAAACAGAUUUAAGCAUAAUGACUUUUCAUUUCAAUUAGAAAAAUUACCUUCUUUAGCUGAUAAAAAUCUAAGAUCUUCCAUAUUCAUUUCUAUGAGCUAGUUUGUUGCUGCUGAUUUUUUGUUCUUGUUUUCUUUUCUUCUAAAAAUAAAUAAAAAUAUUGAUGAUGUACAUUACAUGAUUAGUUUAAUGACAGCCUUAGAAAUUUAUCUGUACUUUUUAGAAAUAUAUAAUUAAGAUUUAAGGAAUACCAACGGUUCCAUUCUGUUUGUCAUUAGAUAUGCGUCAUUGUUGCUUAGUACCUUUGUUCUUUUGUGAUAAGAUCUGUUGAUUGGUGAAACAGUAUAGUGCCUAUACGGUUACAGAGUGAAGCUCUAUAACUGAAACAUUAUGCUCUAGUGGAAAGCAAAUUUCCAGACAAAAUCAGUAGUCAUGUGGAAAUGAAUUAAGAAGAGAAAAUUAAGUUAUUUGAACUGUAGGACAUUUUUUUUUCUUUCUUUAGUAAUGUAUAAGAAAAUAAAGAUGGACUAUUUUUCUUCCUAUGAAAGGAGAUGUUUCUGUUACUAAAUAAAGAAAAUUUUGUCAUUGCAA